AGGAUUUGAGCCUAAAGUUGCAAGAUAAAUUUUAAUUUUAAUUUUAAUUUUAAUGCUAUGAUUUUUAUUUCAGAAGAUUAUGCAAUAUUGGGUUUAAUGCUUUAUGUUUCUUGGUUUAUUGAUGAUUCUAGUGAUAUUCGAACAGAAGCUAGGAUUUCUUGAUCAACUGAAUGUAUAAUUGAUUUUUAGAGAGAAUAUUGCAUAUCACAUUAGGACUAGGCAAUUAGAAUAGGGACCCUAAAAACAGUGUGUGGUCUAUUUAAUUCACAACCGAAUAAGGCGAAUUAACAGUAAGGGAUUACAGUACUCUAUGCAUCUAAAUUAUUGACUACCAUGAUAGAGACCUUUGAUUAGAUGAAUCUUCAACCUGAAGAAUGACAAUUGGCUAUAAUAAAUCCUACCAUUUCAUGACAUAGAACUUGCAUUGGAUUGAAAUUCCAUACAUAUGUUAAAGUUAAAUCACUACCCUAACACUUUUUGAUUAUAAGAAGUUUCUUUAAUUAGUUUUCUUCAAUUAGUUUAAUUAUUUAUUUUUAUUUUAUUAUCAGUUUUAUUUUAUUUAACUUCAACUAUUGAUUUCUCAAAUAAAAUUAGGGUAGUAUUAGCUUAAUUA
rnacentral:misc_RNA from 1 species